rnacentral:lncRNA from 1 species
ACUAAUCCAUAAUUUCACAGUACCAACAACAUAACAAAAUAAUGUAAACUAUUUGAACCGUAUAACUAGUGUUAUUUUGUCUAAUAAUUAGUGAGUUAGAUAGCUAGCUAUAAUACAAGACAAUAAAGGGUACAUAAAAACUUCUGACACUUGAACAUAUGAUGAAGUCUUCCACAUGUCAAAUAUUUCGACAUCAUAACCUGAAAUAAUAAAAUAAGAUGGAUAUCAACAUUAUUUAUGAUAGGACAUAGUAUUACUACUGCUUUAUAACAUUUGACUACUAACAAUCAGACUCUGCACUUUGUCUAUGCACUUAUUUGUAACAAUAGUCCUAUUUGCAAGAAAUUAAAUUGUAUAGGCACAAUUUCGAGCUGGAGAACAAAAGUAUAGAUCCCAAAAUAUAUGUGCUUCAAAACUUAGAUAUGCAUAAAGAAUAAUUUAAAGAUAUUCAACUUAAAGUAAUUGGUUUGAAUCUAAGCUUUUCAUGAGGUGCAAGCUAGAAAGAAACUUUAAAGAUUAUAGCAUUUAUACAAGCUUUGCCAACGUGUAUUAUAUUUGCGUUCAAUAAUUACCUAUAUACUUUUAUUUGUUUUGUUUUUGGUUAAGCCCGCUAAAUGAAUAAGAGAAAUUACAUGAAGUUCCUCAAAUAAAAAAUGCAUAGAGGAGUACAAAAUCUAUUUUAAAUUAAGACUACAUACUAAAAGUUUACUUGGAGAAAGAAUCAAACAUUUAUAAACUAAUAAAAUCCUCGCUAGCUAAGUUACAAAUUAAGAGAGAGCAUACUAAUAAACAUUUACAGUGAAGAGUUGCAGAAACGGGAAUGGGCUUUUUGAGUGUUUGUACAUACUUGUUAGAUUUGCCAGAGAAGAUUUCAGGGAUUGAGAAUUCGAUUUGUUGUUCCUAUUGUAUAACAUUUUGCUUAGUAAAGUAAGGUGGUAGAGUUUUCUACCGCAUACAACAAAAGAAAGUUGUAAAUGACCAAACUCGUAUAUUAACAUUCCAUGGAGUACGCAAACAAUCAGAAUGCAAAUAUCGAUGAAAUGAAAGACAAAAACUCAUGUCGAACCUGGCUUGUUGGGUGUUUCUUGUUUUGCUUUCUUUGCCAGAGCCAGGAGCUACUUAGGAGAUGGAGCUGGUCUCUUUUUCUUUUCAACCUUCAUCAUAAAACAUCAAUCACAUAAAAGACAAUGCUAAUUAAGAUAAAUGAAAAAAAUGAACAAACAUAAAGAUAAAAAAUUUAGUACUACCUCUUUUUGAUGUCUCUUCUUCUAAAUCUUCAUCUCCAUCCAAAUCAUCAAAAAAAUCCAUUACUUAAGGACCAUAAAAAUCCUAGUAAUCCAAAAUUUAAAAAAACUACCUACACCCGGAAAAAAUAUAAGAUAAAGCAUUUCUCCCUGUAUUAAAAGGUAAAAUCUACAUAAUAAGCAUCACAAAAAACUUUAUGAAUGGCAUAGGCACAUCACUGGAGACAUCAUCACUACCAUCUUCAUUAUCCGAGUCAUCUUCAAAAUCAUCAUCAUCUUUGUUAGAUGUCGGUUCUUUUUUUGGUUCUGCCACCUUCGCAUUUUUCUCAAUAAAUGCAACCUUAGUAAGUGCAGACUUUUUUGAAUCAUGCUUUAUAUCCUUCACAUUAUCCUCAAGUUUUCCAUUUAUGCAUCUAAAACAUUCUCUUCAUGUAAAAAAAUAUCACCUCUAGAAUCAAUUUCAUCAACGCUCAGAUCAUCAAUUGUGCAUACAAUUAAAUACACACUCCCAUUUGUUUUAGUCAUGACUCAUGUAAAAUUUUAAACUCCUUUUCAAGGACCAAGUCAAACAUCAACUAAGGUCUAUCCUCUGCCGGUAGAGUUCCAAUGAUGUAAUUAUUUUCUCCAACAGUUAGGCGUAGAGGAACAUGUUUUACUUCUUUGGCAUACUUCACUUCAUCUAUUGCAGCCUACAAAAUAAAGAUCCCUAAUAGCCAUUUAAGAGUAAAGCCACAUUAUGCUAGCUUGAGAAAGAACACAAAUAUAAUUUAUUUAUUUUUAAAAAAAGAAAGCUAACCUUGUAAAUAUGAAUGAGCUUAUAAAGUUCAGGCUUGAUUUAGAAAUCGUCUUACUUUCACUUCAACACCUACACAUAGCUCAUGUGAAAGAUAUGUCACACUUUAAUAAAUUAUGUUCAUAUGGUGUAAUUUCUGCAUCAUGAAAAUAAUUGACCAAAACCGUUAAGGUAUAGAUUAAAAAAAUAAGCACAUGUGUUAGUGGUUCAAUUUAUGUAUAUACAUAUACAAACCGAUCUAUACCUUUUUCUAGUUAUUUGGUUUUGAUUCUAGUAUGCAAUUUUAACUCCUAUUUUCUCUGCAUCUAGUUGCUAGAAACAUAAAAAAAUUCCUUUAAAUGAUACAAACAUCUGUAGCAGAAAAAUCAUGACGUCUUAAGCCUUCAAGAUUCAAUCCAUGAAGCUUAACUUUUUUUCUCAGAUACAAUAAUAUACUUUGGAACAUCGUUAGAAACCUGGAGAACAAAAUGACUAAGAUCCUAAAAAGAUAUGUGAUCUUAAAUAUAGUUAGUGUGUUGCAGUCGUAUAAUAUAUGUGGAUCUUUUUCAUUCCUUGGUGGUGGUUCAGUGGUAAGAUUCUUUCUUAAUUUUUGAUGUCUUUUAAUUCUUUGAAAGACUCAAUACUCCUCGUAUGAUAAAUUAAGAUAUCAAUAGUUUCAUAUUUUGGUUGUUUUUCCUAAAUGCAAACAUAAUUCAAGAUAGCAAUACAUCUGUAAUUGCUAUACUUUUAAGUUUGUUUGUGAGAUGCACCUCAUUAAAGUUUAGUUUCGAACCACUUACUUUAAGUUGAAUAUAUUAAAAUUAGGUCUUCUACAUUUCUCAGAUUGAAAGCACAUGAACCAAUACGGUAAAUUAAUGAACAACAAUAGCUCCUGUAGUGUGGCCGUAGUCCUGUAUGUGAAGAAUUUAAAUUAUCAUCUAUCAGUUAUACUAAAUUUCCAGAAUAGGUCAUGCCUCAUGAAAAUGACUAAAACGAAAUAGUCAACCACAACAUGACCUGCAAGAAAUGUGGUGUUUUUCACUAGAAAGCAAUACAUAUUCUUUCAAUACGUUAAAACUAAAGUGUAUCUAUUUGAAGAUACAAAGAUUUAGUUGGUUGUGUAUAUACAAGGACAUCAAUUAAGAUUUCAGUCUCAAGUUUAUUCAUUUCCAAAUUUUCUAUAAUGGAUCUAAGAACGGAUUGAAGCUUUUAUCUGUAAGAGUUAUUGGCAUUCCACACAAGUUGAAUUAGAUUAGCCUUAUAUGAAACAAAUGCAUUAAUACUACAAAGUAGAAAUAUAUUCUUUUGCUUUGAUCGCUCAUUUAUUUCCUAUUAGUAUAGUAAAUUUUUAAUCAAACAUGAGUUCAUGAAGGAAUUUUUUUAUCCCUUAUAAACUUAUUAGUGAAUCAAAAGCUACUUAAUCUUUGCAAGAGAGUGAUAAGCAGUAUAACACAAUUAUAGCAUCCAAAUUACAAAUGACAUAAUAAUGCAUGAGGGAUAUCUUAAUAAAAUCAAAUUUCCUAUAACUUCUGGGAUUAUAUUUAUAGGAAAACAAGGAAUUUCACCUCAAAGGGAUAAGGGGCAGAACACAUAGGGUACAACCUCCACUAAUAAUACUGAUAAUUAUCACUAGCGAUAGUAAUAUUUUUGAGAUAGAACAAGAAAUAGUAUUGUUAUACUUUGUGGAUACACUCUACUCCAAGAUUUUCCUGAUCGGGACCUAGACUUUAGGUACUUUUUUAACACAUGAAUUUGUACAUCAGCAAAUCUACACAGGAAAGAAGCACAUACAUGAAGAAAGUAAUCUGAAGAUCUCAUUCAGUAACCUCUAAAAAUUCAUAAGCAUUUUUAUUUCCUAAAAUCUUAUACUCUUAGGAAACAUAAAUUGAUUGGAGUACACACACUAAUUCACCAACCUCUAAAAUUUCAAGAGAAUUUAGAUUUCCUAGCUUCUUACAAUUCCGCAGCAAUAAGACUCAAAGUCCUUCAAAUAUCGAUAGUUGAUGUUUGGAUAAAAGACAACUAGAAGGGACACUCUCCUCUCAUCUUCAAUGUUUCUCUCUUUGGUGAAUUCAACAUACAUAAUCUAAUGUUAUUCCUGUUUGAUCAAAAUAUUCAUCCGAGAACCUACGUUAUUUGGUAAUCAUACAGACAUAUAUUCAUGUGCGCUCUAGUUAUAUACAAACAUGAUUAUUCAAGAAAUCACCAUCCAUGUUUUUACAUAACUUCAAUUAGACUACAGAUCACACAUUAGUCACCUUAUAAUGUAAUAUAUAUUGAUGUUUUCAAGAAAUUAAAACAAAUCUCAAUCACAGAGAGAUCUGAAUGCUAUAGAUUCAGGUAAAAAACAUCAAUUUUUAUUAAUGAUACACAGAGAACUUCUGAACAACCAAAGUAAAGAUAAAAGAAUCGGCGAAACAGAGGAAUCAAAUCAAGUGAUUUUCCAUCAAUUCAACAGCAGUCAGAGAUCAUAUAUUAUGAUUUAACAAACUCAAGAAAUCUAUAAUUUCACAAAUCAUAGAUUGCCAUAGUUAGACAUCACAAAAUGCAAUUUGACAUGGUAUCAAGUAUUUCGGUACUUGAUAAGAAGAAUAUUUUACCAAAAAAGACCAAAAUGUUAAGGAGAAGAAUUAUUAAGGUAACAAUCUGAAACUUACAUGAAUGUAGAAGAUGAAGAUGAUGACAAGGAGAAGAUUUAAACAUCGGUGGUUCAGCAAUAUCGACCUAAAGUCAUGACUCUGACUAUAAAUAGAUGAUGUCUAGUGAUGGGUAAGGCUACCAUAGAAGAUGAUCAGCGUAUAUGGCAGUCAUGGUGCCGCGAGGCGGAGAGCUUUAGAGCAGCAAUGUGGAAUUAGAAUGAGUAGGGUUUUUAGUUAUUUCUUUUUGUUAAUUAUUGGAGGAAACAUCUAAAUUCUAAUAGUGGUGAAAAACUAGGAGGGAAAAAUGACAAAAUUGUUUUCAAUUAGUAAUUUUUACGUGCAAAUUAUUUUUAUUGUCGGUAAAAAAUAAAUUUUAGUGGCCAAUGUUUAUGGGCCAGUAGUAUCUCAAUGUAAAUAAUUAAUUAGUGGCAAUUGACUUAUUAUCAUUAAAUAAUUAUCGCUAAAAGGCGCCUUUUUGUAGUAGUGUGAGGUUCAUAUGCAAGGCAAUACUAGCAAUACUAAUGUGGGAAUUGUGGAAAAGGAGAAAUGCAAGAAGGCAUGGAAAGGAAAUUACUUUUUAUAAGCUAGAGCAAAAAUGUCAGACCAUAAUAACACAGCUUAUAAGAAGUAAAUACCCGUGGAUAACAGUUCCUAAAGGGUGGGACACAAUUGUAGAGGUACUAAGAAGAUACAGGCCAAGAUUGCACUAUCACGCUGUGAGGUGGAUAAAACCGCAACAAGAUAAAUUUAAGUGCAACACGGAUGAAGCUAGCAGAGGUAACCCACCCUGGAGUAAGUUCUUACAGUUUCUGUAUUCGAGAUUACAAUUAAAGCUUGAUAUAUGCUGAAGCAGAUGCUUUAGGGGAUAGAAACACUAUGAAAGCAGAGACGAUAGCAAUUCUACAGGCACUUAGUUAUUGCAAGAGAAACAAUCUUCAAAACAUCAUUGUGGAAACAGAUUCGUUAGGAAUAACAAAAAUGCUUAGACAGGAAUGGAGGAUCCCAUGGGGCCAGGCAGAUGACAUACAAGAGAUAUAAGAGUUACAACAACAUGUUCAGGCACACAUACAACAUGUAUUCAGGGAAGCAAAUAAUCUAGCAAAUGAGGCAUGUGACCUAGAGGGGAAGAUUCAGACGCAAACAUAUCAACAACUAUGUAAAGGAAUUUUAAAUACUGAUAAAGCCCAAAUACCAUCACUGAGGAUUAGAACAAGGAAGAUUACAGUACAUGGGCAACAUCAUGAGUAGAGAAAGGAAUAAUAACAAAGCAGAACACAGAUAUGAUAUGUACAAUCAGUUUUGCCAAUACAAGGCAUACAUAACUGUGCAAAAGACUACGCUACAUAGCAUGAGCUUUCUCAACUUACAAAUUCCACCAGCAAAAGUUGAUGCCUUCAAAUUCAGAUGGUAUCUGGAGCUGAAGAAGAGAGCACGCUUCUUGGAAUCUCCUUCUCUGCCUCAGCUGGAAAUAAGGAGAUUAGAGGUGGAUGAGAGACGGCAAAAAGAGAACAGAGAAGAAGGAACUCACUCACUUGGAAUCUCUUAUACAGGAAGAUGCAGAUUUGGAGAAAGGAAGAGCUGAGGAGAAGCAGAGGCGGAUGAAUCCACAACACAAGCUCAACAGGUGAACAUAUUGAAGAAAGAGCCGGACCAAAUAGGGUUA